UACGGGGGGGGUAAGCGUUGUUCGGAAUUACUGGGCGUAAAGGGCUCGUAGGCGGCCAACUAAGUCGGACGUGAAAUCCCUACAGCUUAACUGGGGAACUGCGUCCGAUACUGGAUGGCUUGGAUUUGGGAGAGGGAUGCGGAAUUCCAGGUGUAGCGGUGAAAUGCGUAGAUAUCUGGAGGAACACCGGUGGCGAAGGCGGCAUCCUGGACCAAUAUUGACGCUGAGGAGCGAAAGCUAGGGGAGCAAACGGGG
rnacentral:rRNA from 1 species